rnacentral:rRNA from 1 species
AGAGUUUGAUCAUGGCUCAGGAUGAACGCUAGCGGGAGGCCUAACACAUGCAAGCUGAGCGGUAUUGUCUUUCGGGACAGAGAGAGCGGCGUACGGGUGCGUAACACGUGUGCAACCUGCCUUUAUCAGGAGGAUAGCCUUUCGAAAGGAAGAUUAAUACUCCAUAAUAUAUUAAUUGGCAUCAAUUGAUAUUGAAAACUCCGGUGGAUAAAGAUGGGCACGCGCAAGAUUAGAUAGUUGGUGAGGUAACGGCUCACCAAGUCGAUGAUCUUUAGGGGGCCUGAGAGGGUGAUCCCCCACACUGGUACUGAGACACGGACCAGACUCCUACGGGAGGCAGCAGUGAGGAAUAUUGGACAAUGGGUUAGCGCCUGAUCCAGCCAUCCCGCGUGAAGGAUUAAGGACCUAUGGUUUGUAAACUUCUUUUGUACAGGGAUAAACCUACCCUCGUGAGGGUAGCUGAAGGUACUGUACGAAUAAGCACCGGCUAACUCCGUG